GGGGUGUAGCUCAGAUGGUAGAGCACCUGCUUUGCAAGCAGGGGGUCGUCGGUUCGAUUCCGUUCACCUCC
rnacentral:tRNA from 1 species